UACGUAGGGGCUAGCGUUAUCCGGAAUUAUUGGGCGUAAAGAGUACGUAGGUGGUUUUGUAAGCGUGGGGUGAAAGACCGAAGCUUAACUUCGGUUAGCCUUGCGAACUGCAGACUUGAGUGCAGGAGAGGAAAGUGGAAUUCCUAGUGUAGCGGUGAAAUGCGUAGAGAUAUGGAGGAACACCAGUGGCGAAGGCGGCUUCCUGGUCUGUAACUGACACUGAGGCGCGAAAGCGUGGGGAGCAAACAGGAUUAGAUACCCUGGUAGUCCCUGAGCGGG
rnacentral:rRNA from 1 species